rnacentral:rRNA from 1 species
GUAGGGAAUCUUGCGCAAUGGGCGAAAGCCUGACGCAGCCAUGCCGCGUGAAUGAUGAAGGUCUUAGGAUUGUAAAAUUCUUUCACCGGGGACGAUAAUGACGGUACCCGGAGAAGAAGCCCCGGCUAACUUCGUGCCAGCAGCCGCGGUAAUACGAAGGGGGCUAGCGUUGCUCGGAAUUACUGGGCGUAAAGGGAGCGUAGGCGGAUAGUUUAGUCAGAGGUGAAAGCCCAGGGCUCAACCUUGGAAUUGCCUUUGAUACUGGCUAUCUUGAGUAUGGAAGAGGUAUGUGGAACUCCGAGUGUAGAGGUGAAAUUCGUAGAUAUUCGGAAGAACACCAGUGGCGAAGGCGACAUACUGGUCCAUUACUGACGCUGAGGCUCGAAAGCGUGGGGAGCAAACAGGAUUAGAUACCCUGGUAUCC